rnacentral:tRNA from 1 species
GCCUGGGUGGCUCAGUCGGCUGAGCGUCCGACUUCGGCUCGGGUCAUGGUCUCACAGUCUGUGGGUUCGAGCCCCGCAUCAGGCU